ensembl:snRNA U6 U6 spliceosomal RNA
GUAUCCCCGUGUGGUUAGCCUGUGUGACUGAAGUACAAUACAGAGGGAUUAGCUCGGCCCCUGAGCAAGAUGACACGCAAAUCUGUAAAGCGUUCCAGAUUUUU